CCGAUUGGAGGGCAAGUCUGGUGCCAGCAGCCGCGGUAAUUCCAGCUCCAAUAGCGUAUAUUAAAGUUGUUGCGGUUAAAAAGCUCGUAGUCUGAGUUCUGUUCCGGACUGGUCGGGGAGGUCACCGCCCGGUGCUUGCCCGUCAGGUUCCGAACAGCCUCCGCCGCGAGUGGGGGCCAAGCCGGUUCUGCCGGGGUGCUCUUGACCGAGUGUCCCGCGCGGCCGGCCGGUUCACCUUGAACAAAUGAGAGUGCUCAAAGCAGGCUACUCUUGACACUAAAGCCCGAAUGUUAACUGCAUGGAAUGAUGGAAGAUGAUCUCGGUUCCAUUUUGCUGGGUGGUGGGAAUCCGAGUUAAUGAUAAACAGGGACUGUCGGGGGCAUCCGUACUACGACGCGAGAGGUGAAAUUCAGUGACCGUCGUAGGACGAACAACAGCGAAAGCAUUUGCCAAGAAUGUCUUCGUUGAUCAAGAACGAAAGUUAGAGGAUCGAAGGCGAUCAGAUACCGCCCUAGUUCUAACCCUAAACGAUGCUGACCAGCUAUUCGCCGUCGUUAUUCCCAUGACGUGGCGAGACGCCCCCGGGAAACCUCGAGUCUUUGAGUUCCGGGGGUAGUAUGGUUGCAAAACUGAAACUUAAAGGAAUUGACGGAAGGGCACCACCAGGAGUGGAGCCUGCGGCUUAAUUUGACUCAACACGGGAAACCUCACCAGGCCCGGACACCAGAAGGAUUGACAGAUUAAGAGCUCUUUCUCAAUUUGGUGGGUGGUGGUGCAUGGCCGUUCUUAGUUGGUGGAGUGAUUUGUCUGGUUAAUUCCG
rnacentral:rRNA from 1 species